UACGGAGGGUGCAAGCGUUAAUCGGAAUUACUGGGCGUAAAGGGCGCGUAGGCGGCUUAUCAAGUCAGGCGUGAAAUUCCCGGGCUCAACCUGGGGGCUGCGCUUGAUACUGAUGAGCUUGAAUGCGGGAGAGGAUAGUGGAAUUCCCAGUGUAGAGGUGAAAUUCGUAGAUAUUGGGAAGAACACCGGUGGCGAAGGCGGCUAUCUGGCCCGUAAUUGACGCUGAGGCGCGAAAGCGUGGGGAGCAAACAGG
rnacentral:rRNA from 1 species